rnacentral:rRNA from 1 species
CCUACGGGUAGCAGCAGUGGGGAAUAUUGGACAAUGGGGGGAACCCUGAUCCAGCCAUGCCGCGUGUGUGAAGAAGGCCCUCGGGUUGUAAAGCACUUUCAGUGAGGAAGAACGCCUGGUGGUUAAUACCCAUCAGGAAAGACAUCACUCACAGAAGAAGCACCGGCUAACUCCGUGCCAGCAGCCGCGGUAAUACGGAGGGUGCGAGCGUUAAUCGGAAUUACUGGGCGUAAAGCGCGCGUAGGUGGCUUGAUAAGCCGGUUGUGAAAGCCCCGGGCUCAACCUGGGAACGGCAUCCGGAACUGUCAAGCUAGAGUACAGGAGAGGAAGGUAGAAUUCCCGGUGUAGCGGUGAAAUGCGUAGAGAUCGGGAGGAAUACCAGUGGCGAAGGCGGCCUUCUGGACUGACACUGACACUGAGGUGCGAAAGCGUGGGUAGCAAACAGGAUUAGAUACCCUAGUAGUC